UGUUCUAAAUUCUUCAAAAAAAAAAAAAAAAAAAAAAAAAUGCUUCUACUUUCAUAGUUUGAUAUUAUCAUAUUUGUUAGAAAAAUAAAUUGUUUGCAUUCAUUACAGAAUGUUGAAAUGAUCAAAAAAUAUUUAUGAAUAAUGCUGCAUUUGUAGAACUUGGUGUGAAUGUUGUUAUUUGUCCUUUUUGCACCCGAAAACAGAUUUACCGUGCUACUGUACAACAGUCACCUCUCUCAAUUCAGUGCAUUACAGAAGCGCUCAAGACUCAUCAUCACUGGAGAAUGAAUAACAACAUUAACAAGGUCAUGUUUAUGAUUCGAGAUGAGCAAACAUUCAACUUACAGUGUGUUUCGUAGAAGCUUCAACAUAUGGCAGACAUCAAAUAUCACAUGAACAUCAUAGCUGCAAGUUGGGUGAGGGAAUGUUGUUAUAAUUGAUUCAUAUGUUUGACCAAAGUUACAACCAAGAAACUUAGCUGCUUCCUGAUUAUAAACAUAUGUUCCAUCCCAAACUACGCUCCAAGUUGUUAGACCAGUAUCGGCAAGUAGACUUAAAGCAGUUUUGACGAGUUGGGAGAGAACACAGCCAGAAAUCUUGUUGCAUAAAAAAUAUCCUAUAACUGAUUUCCAUGAACGUCCUGUUAAACCCACAACCAUGAAUACUAGUGACUCGGUAGCUAAUUCUUCAGAGGAUUCUACGUUAGAAUUUCCGUAAUUUACAAAGCCACUAUAUUGUUGAUUUUUUGCAUCCCAUAAUGACUGUUUCCUAAUGUGUCCUACAGUUCCUACCAUCAAUAAUGAGUGUUACAUAGUUGCAGAUUUCCCUAUUUGUCACUUUCAUUUUAAGUUGCUCAAUUACUUCGGAAAGAAAACCAGACAGUCAACUGAGCAGCACCAGUUUCUGAUAGAUGAUGAGUGAGGAAGGUGCAGGAUCUUGCAUACAUAAUCAUAAGCUUUUGGGGAUUGAUAAUGUAAUGUUACGGCAAACUGCUUUGCAGUGUCAUAAUAGUGUUUUCCUUUGGGAUUGAGUUUGUGAUUUCUUGACAUGUUUUUAUCAGCUCCAGUGUAAGUCCUGUGAACUCUUGCUCAAUUAUGUUGCUUACAUCUUCAUCAAUUUUGUUUUUUUUCCCUUAAUUGCUGAAGAAGAGCUGAUAUUGACUUGAUUUUUAAAAUUUUUUCUCCACACCUUGCUUUUUUUUUUAUUGUUUUGACUUCUAACUUUAAGGCAUUUAUUCUUUCUUCUUUUGAAACUUUUAAGUAAUAUGGGUGAUCAAAUUUUGCUAUUCUAGCAAUUUUACUGGAACUGUCUAUAGUAUCUGAAUUAAAUUUUUCGUUUUCUUGUCAAUGCAAUUUGUUCAAAAAAUGUUAGAUUAUUAUUUUUACCACAGUUUUCGAACACAGUGGGAAUAACACUUGCUUUAAGUCGUCUUUUUUGGUCUGGUGACUGUUGAAUUUAAGUCAUUAUCAUUAAAAUG